GUACCUUUUAAAGAAGUCCAGAGAGGCUUAUAAGGGUGUUAAGUUUUAGCUAUGGCAUUAAGAACAUGCAUGCUUCUUUAGCCAUAGCUAUGCUUCAAAGUAUCAACACCCUGAAUAUAUUCAGGGUGUUUUUUUA
rfam:Bacillus sp. FJAT-21945 super3, whole genome shotgun sequence.